UUCCAGACUCCUACGGGAGGCAGCAGUGGGGAAUAUUGCACAAUGGGGGGAACCCUGAUGCAGCGACGCCGCGUGGGUGAAGGAGCACCUCGGUGCGUAAAGCCCUAUCGGCAGGGAAGAAAAGCGAACAGGUUCGCCUGGACGGUACCUGACUAAGAAGCCCCGGCUAACUACGUGCCAGCAGCCGCGGUGAUACGUAGGGGGCAAGCGUUAUCCGGAUUCACUGGGUGUAAAGGGAGCGUAGACGGCGACGCAAGUCUGGAGUGAAAGCCCGGGGCCCAACCCCGGGACUGCUCUGGAAACUGCGUCGCUGGAGUACGGGAGGGGCAGGCGGAAUUCCUGGUGUAGCGGUGAAAUGCGUAGAUAUUAGGAGGAACACCAGUGGCGAAGGCGACUAUCUGGCACAUAACUGACGCUGAGGAGCGAAAGCGUGGGUAGCAAACAGGAUUAGAUACCCCGGUAAC
rnacentral:rRNA from 1 species